CACACACACAAAAGGCCCAAUUCACCGCACACAAGUUUAAUAAUCAAAAUCAUUUUUUUCUUUCCUCAUUUCGUUUACUCUCUCUCACAGUGCCUCUCUCUCUCUCUCUUUCUUUGCCUUCUUCACCUAAAUUUCUCUGCACCAUUCUUCCUUUUCUUUCUCUCAUUAUCAGAUUACAAGGAGGAAAAAAAUAAAAUAAAAUCGGCAGCUAUUAAUUUGCAGCAAAAUGGGUUGGAAUUUCUCUUCGAAUUUUUUUAUUUUUUUUUGGUUAGAUUGCAAGAAGAGAGAAUAUGAAGGGAUGCGUUUAAUCUCUCUCCAUGGAUGAAGCAAUGGGGUUGGCUCUGUGUGCAUCCUUGAGAGAGGGUGGACUACAGGGUCUGGCAUGGAAGGUCCGUCGAUCUCAGCCAGGACCGAGGACAGAUCAGUCAAAGAGAGGAUCUCAAUCUUUUCGUGGCUCCUCUUCAAAAAAUCAUCAUGUCGGCUGUGUAGUUUUUGAGAGGAGAGGGGGGAUAGUUGUAGAUGAAGGAGAGUUGUAUUAGAUAAUACAAAGAAAAUCGGAUGUAUUAGUAAUACACCAUGAGCUGUAUUAAAAAACAUGAAAAGGUAUUAUAUGAUCCAAUACCUUCACAA